rnacentral:rRNA from 1 species
AGUGAACGCUGGCGGCGUGCCUAAUACAUGCAAGUCGAACGAUGAAGCUCUAGCUUGCUAGAGUGGAUUAGUGGCGCACGGGUGAGUAAUGCAUAGGUUAUGUGCCCUUUAGUCUAGGAUAGCCAUUGGAAACGAUGAUUAAUACUGGAUACUCCCUACGGGGGAAAGUUUUUCGCUAAAGGAUCAGCCUAUGUCCUAUCAGCUUGUUGGUGAGGUAAUGGCUCACCAAGGCUAUGACGGGUAUCCGGCCUGAGAGGGUGAACGGGCACACUGGAACAGAGACACGGUCCAGACUCCUACGGGAGGCAGCAGUAGGGAAUAUUGCUCAAUGGGGGAAACCCUGAAGCAGCAACGCCGCGUGGAGGAUGAAGGUUUUCGGAUUGUAAACUCCUUUUCUAAGAGAAGAUUAUGACGGUAUCUUAGGAAUAAGCACCGGCUAACUCCGUGCCAGCCGCCGCCGUAA